ACCAUGGAUAUGGUUGGCUGAGGAGUUAUUAUUGUACAUUUGUAAAUAGUUUGUUUCAUCAUGGUACACAGGUCAGUGUUUUUGGUGCGUCUCGCACCUUUCUUUAUUUCUUUAUGCUGGCCUGUGUCUGAUAUGGUGGAAAACAUGAGGGAGCUGCCAGGAACUCUUGAGAUAGGAGCUCCCUUGAAAGAAAUUUUAUUUUUUUUUUCCCCCCCAAACAGGAUGAAUUGGAAACACUAAAUUGCCUGUGCCCUGUUCAGGGUUUAGCUCACCUCCUACCCAAUAUGUGUUGGGACAGACAGCAGUCUCCCUGAAGACUUGAACAGCAAAAGCACUUACGAUGGAUGUCUGUAAAUAAAGUUGAAUGUGUUUUCUUGAGCUAGAAGCACAUGCAACUUUAUUUAAUGGAGCUGACUCAUCAUCACGAGCUUCAGAUUCAAGUUUAAGCUAGGAAUGAGAAGACCUAUCAAAACACCUGCAGGGACAGAGUCAGAGCAAGAAAAACUACUGAUCCACCAAUGAGAGGCAGUUCAACAAGGAAGAACAGCCUGAUAGAAGAGGCAGGAGAAGACAGGAUCAGCAAGACAGGGGCCAGUGAAGAUAUUAACCCCACCUGCAAUUUCUCCCAGCUAUCCAGACCAGCCAGAGGUGGACAGAGUGGAAAACAUGUACCUGUUCAUCAAGGAUCAAAAUCUGGGACACCAAGAUGUCUUUACUUAUAAAGGAUUUUGACUUUGAUUUGAACCUCACCAAGAAUGAACAAAUUGGAAUGCGAGAGGAGAAACAAGAUAAAGACCAGAGGAGACAAGCAGAGGAGAUGCCAUGCACUGUGAACCCCCUCAUUAAAAAAGAUAAAGAGGAGAGAAGGGAGGAAG